AUACGUAGGGUGCAAGCGUUAAUCGGAAUUACUGGGCGUAAAGCGUGCGCAGGCGGUUUUGUAAGACAGUGGUGAAAUCCCCGGGCUCAACCUGGGAACUGCCAUUGUGACUGCAAGGCUGGAGGGCGGCAGAGGGGGAUGGAAUUCCGCGUGUAGCAGUGAAAUGCGUAGAUAUGCGGAGGAACACCGAUGGCGAAGGCAAUCCCCGUGGCCUGCACUGACGCUCAUGCACGAAAGCGUGGGGAGCAAACAGGAUUAGAUACCCUGGUAGUCCACGCCCUAAACGAUGUCAACUGGUUGUUGGGGAUUUAUUUUCUCAGUAACGAAGCUAACGCGUGAAGUUGACCGCCUGGGGAGUACGGCCGCAAGGUUAAAACUCAAAUGAAUUGACGGGG
rnacentral:rRNA from 1 species